UAUGUAGGUGGCAAGCGUUGUCCGGAUUUACUGGGCGUAAAGGAUGCGUAGGCGGACAUUUAAGUCAGAUGUGAAAUACCCGAGCUUAACUUGGGUGCUGCAUUUGAAACUGGGUGUCUAGAGUGCAGGAGAGGUAAGUGGAAUUCCUAGUGUAGCGGUGAAAUGCGUAGAGAUUAGGAAGAACACCAGUGGCGAAGGCGACUUACUGGACUGUAACUGACGCUGAGGCAUGAAAGCGUGGGGAGCAAACAGG
rnacentral:rRNA from 1 species